rnacentral:rRNA from 1 species
ACGCUGGCGGCGUGCUUAACACAUGCAAGUCGAACGCUGAAGCCCAGCUUGCUGGGUGGAUGAGUGGCGAACGGGUGAGUAACACGUGAGUAACCUGCCCCCUUCUUUGGGAUAACGCCCGGAAACGGGUGCUAAUACUGGAUAUUCACUGAUCUUCGCAUGGGGGUUGGUGGAAAGGUUUUUCUGGUGGGGGAUGGGCUCGCGGCCUAUCAGCUUGUUGGUGGGGUGAUGGCCUACCAAGGCUUUGACGGGUAGCCGGCCUGAGAGGGUGACCGGUCACAUUGGGACUGAGAUACGGCCCAGACUCCUACGGGAGGCAGCAGUGGGGAAUAUUGCACAAUGGGCGAAAGCCUGAUGCAGCGACGCCGCGUGAGGGAUGGAGGCCUUCGGGUUGUAAACCUCUUUCGCUCAUGGUCAAGCCGCAGCUUUGGGUUGUGGUGAGGGUAGUGGGUAAAGAAGCGCCGGCUAACUACGUGCCAGCAGCCGCGGUAAUACGUAGGGCGCGAGCGUUGUCCGGAAUUAUUGGGCGUAAAGGGCUUGUAGGCGGUUGGUCGCGUCUGCCGUGAAAUCCUCUGGCUUAACUGGGGGCGUGCGGUGGGUACGGGCUGACUUGAGUGCGGUAGGGGAGACUGGAACUCCUGGUGUAGCGGUGGAAUGCGCAGAUAUCAGGAAGAACACCGGUGGCGAAGGCGGGUCUCUGGGCCGUUACUGACGCUGAGGAGCGAAAGCGUGGGGAGCGAACAGGAUUAGAUACCCUGGUAGUCCACGCUGUAAACGUUGGGCACUAGGUGUGGGGGCCACCCGUGGUUUCUGCGCCGUAGCUAACGCUUUAAGUGCCCCGCCUGGGGAGUACGGCCGCAAGGCUAAAACUCAAAGGAAUUGACGGGGGCCCGCACAAGCGGCGGAGCAUGCGGAUUAA